rnacentral:rRNA from 1 species
ACCAGACUCCUACGGGAGGCAGCAGUUAGGAAUAUUCGUCAAUGGAGGAAACUCUGAACGAGCAAUGCCGCGUGAACGAUGAAGGCCCUAUGGGUUGUAAAGUUCUGUUGUUUGGAACGAAUAACUAGAAGAGGAAAUGCUUUUAGUCUGACGGUACCAUUCAAGAAAGCCACGGCUAACUACGUGCCAGCAGCCGCGGUAAUACGUAGGUGGCGAGCGUUAUCCGGAUUUAUUGGGCGUAAAGCGUGCGCAGGCGGUUUGUUAAGUCUAAAAUUAAAGCCCGAAGCCUAACUUCGGUUCGUUUUAGAAACUGGCAGACUUGAGUAUGGUAGAGGCAAAUGGAAUUUCUAGUGUAGCGGUAGAAUGCGUAGAUAUUAGAAGGAACACCAGUGGCGAAGGCGGUUUGCUGGGCCAUUACUGACGCUCAUGCACGAAAGCGUGGGGAGCAAAUAGGAUUAGAUACCCCAGUA